rnacentral:misc_RNA from 1 species
AGGAAAUAAUAGUACAAUAUGAAAUGAUAAUCAAAUAAGAUCCUAAUAAUCUGCUACUACAACAAAUCAGGGAUUUCACCAAGGGAAAAUGACUCUCUUUUGCUGUUGAUAUCCACCUAUGUGAGCUUAGCAAAACUUAGUUGGUUCCAAGCCUGUAUAAAGGAGAAGAGUUGCAGUAGGUUGAUGGCUAGUAUAUUAGUUAUUUCUCAUAAUAUGGAUCCUUAU